rnacentral:rRNA from 1 species
GACGAACGCUGGCGGCGUGCCUAACACAUGCAAGUCGAACGGAAAGGCCCUGCUUUUGUGGGGUGCUCGAGUGGCGAACGGGUGAGUAAUACGUGAGUACCCUUCCCUUGACUUUGUGAUAACUUCCGGAAACUGGGGCUAAUCCCCGAUCGGAGCUCCUGCUGAAUGGUGGGGGUUGGGAAGCUCCGGCGGUUGGGGGGGGCGUGGCGGCUUAUCCGCGUUGUGGUGGGGUAGUGGUACCCCAACGAGUUGCCGGGUAGCCGGUCUGAGAGAGUGACCGGCCACAUAGGGACUGAGAGACGGCCGAGACUCCUACGGGAGGCAGCAGUGGGAAAUAUUGCACAAGGGGCGGAGGCCUGAUGCAGCAGCGCCGCGGGCGGGAUAGCGGCCUUCUGGUGAUAAACCGCUUUCGCCUGAGACGAAGCGGGAGAGGCGGGAACGGGUAGAGUAGGACCGGCUAACUACGUG